rnacentral:rRNA from 1 species
CCGGGUGAGUAAUACAUCGGAACGUGUCUUCUAGUGGGGGAUAACUGCCCGAAAGGGCAGCUAAUACCGCAUGAGACCUGAGGGUGAAAGCGGGGGAGUCGCAAGACCUCGCGCUGGAAGAGCGGCCGAUGUCCGAUUAGCUAGUUGGUGAGGUAAAGGCUCACCAAGGCGACGAUCGGUAGCUGGUCUGAGAGGACGACCAGCCACACUGGGACUGAGACACGGCCCAG